CGGGUGAGUAACGCGUGAGGAACCUGCCUCAAAGAGGGGGACAACAGUUGGAAACGACUGCUAAUACCGCAUAAGCCCACGGUGCCGCAUGGCACAGAGGGAAAAGGAGCAAUCCGCUUUGAGAUGGCCUCGCGUCCGAUUAGCUAGUUGGUGAGGUAACGGCCCACCAAGGCAACGAUCGGUAGCCGGACUGAGAGGUUGAACGGCCACAUUGGGACUGAGACACGGCCCAG
rnacentral:rRNA from 1 species